GUUUGAUCCUGGCUCAGGAUAAACGCUGGCGGCAUGCCUAAUACAUGCAAGUCGAACGGGGGUGCUUGCACCCCAGUGGCGAACGGGUGAGUAACACGUAUCUAACCUACCUCAUAGCGGGGGAUAACUUUUGGAAACGAAAGAUAAUACCGCAUGUGAAUCUUAUUAUCGCAUGAGAAAAGAUUGAAAGGACCGUUUGGUUCACUAUGAGAUGGGGAUGCGGCGUAUUAGUUAGUAGGUGAGGUAAUGGCUCACCUAGGCGAUGAUACGUAGCCGAACUGAGAGGUUGAUCGGCCACAUUGGGACUGAGAUACGGCCCAGACUCCUACGGGAGGCAGCAGUAGGGAAUUUUUCACAAUGGACGAAAGUCUGAUGAAGCAAUGCCGCGUGAGUAAUGACGGCCUUCGGGUUGUAAAGCUCUGUUGUAAGGGAAGAAAAAAUAGAGUAGGAAAUGCCUCUAUAUUGACGGUACCUUACCAGAAAGCCACGGCUAACUAUGUGCCAGCAGCCGCGGUAAUACAUAGGUGGCAAGCGUUAUCCGGAUUUAUUGGGCGUAUAGGGUGCGUAGGCGGUUUUGCAAGUUUGAGGUUAAAGCCCGGAGCUCAACUCCGGUCCGCCUUGAAAACUGCAUUACUAGAAUGCAAGAGAGGUAAGUGGAAUUCCAUGUGUAGCGGUGAAAUGCGUAGAUAUAUGGAAGAACACCUGUGGCGAAAGCGGCUUACUGGCUUGUUAUUGACGCUGAGGCACGAAAGCGUGGGGAGCAAAUAGGAUUAGAUACCCUAGUAGUCCACGCCGUAAAC
rnacentral:rRNA from 1 species